GGCAGUUCUCAGGUGACGGACCUGGAAUCGGGUUCCCUCCUAUCUGGUUCCAGGUACCUCACCUGAGAGCUCCC
rfam:Myotis davidii contig139764, whole genome shotgun sequence.